AUUGAACGCUGGCGGCAGGCUUAACUCACGCAAGUCGAGCGGAGAUGAGGUGCUUGCACCUUAUCUUAGCGGCGGACGGGUGAGUAAUGCUUAGGAAUCUGCCUAUUAGUGGGGGACAACAUUCCGAAAGGAAUGCUAAUACCGCAUACGUCCUACGGGAGAAAGCAGGGAAUCUUCGGACCUUGCGCUAAUAGAUGAGCCUAAGUCGGAUUAGCUAGUUGGUGGGGUAAAGGCCUACCAAGGCGACGAUCUGUAGCGGGUCUGAGAGGAUGAUCCGCCACACUGGGACUGAGGCACGGCCCAGACUCCUACGGGAGGCAGCAGUGGGGAAUAUUGGACAAUGGGGGGAACCCUGAUCCAGCCAUGCCGCGUGUGUGAAGAAGGCCUUAUGGUUGUAAAGCACUUUAAGCGAGGAGGAGGCUACUGAGACUAAUACUCUUGGAUAGUGGACGUUACUCGCAGAAUAAGCACCGGCUAACUCUGUGCCAGCAGCCGCGGUAAGAC
rnacentral:rRNA from 1 species